rnacentral:rRNA from 1 species
GUCCACGCCCUAAACGAUGAACACUCGCUGUUGGCGAUACACAGUCAGCGGCUAAGCGAAAGCGUUAAGUGUUCCACCUGGGGAGUACGCCCGCAAGGGUGAAACUCAAAGGAAUUGACGGGGGCCCGCACAAGCGGAGGAGCAUGUGGUUUAAUUCGAUGAUACGCGAGGAACCUUACCCGGGCUUGAAAGUUAGUGAAGUUGCCAGAGAUGGCAGCGUCCGCAAGGACACGAAACUAGGUGCUGCAUGGCUGUCGU